GAUGAACGCUGGCGGCGUGCUUAACACAUGCAAGUCGAACGAUGAAGCCCAGCUUGCUGGGUGGAUUAGUGGCGAACGGGUGAGUAACACGUGAGUAACCUGCCCUUAACUCUGGGAUAAGCCUGGGAAACAGGGCCUAAUACCGGAUAGGAGCGUCCACCGCAUGGUGGGUGCUGGAAAGAUUUAUCGGUUUUGGAUGGACUCGCGGCCUAUCAGCUCGUUGGUGAGGUAAUGGCUCACCAAGGCGUCGACGGGUAGCCGGCCUGAGAGGGUGACCGGCCACACUGGGACUGAGACACGGCCCAGACUCCUACGGGAGGCAGCAGUGGGGAAUAUUGCACAAUGGGCGCAAGCCUGAUGCAGCGACGCCGCGUGAGGGAUGACGGCCUUCGGGUUGUAAACCUCUUUCAGUAGGGAAGAAGCGAAAGUGACGGUACCUGCAGAAGAAGCACCGGCUAACUACGUG
rnacentral:rRNA from 1 species